AGGAAUAUUUUAAUGGCUAGUAAAACAUCAUAAUCUUUGUGUUUAAAAGGCAAUCAGUAUAAUUCUGAGAAACACAUGAUGUUUCUGAUUCUUUAAAAUAAUUCACAAUGAUUAUCAUAAUUCCUAAAUGUGUUAUCACACAGUGGAACAGUAAGAAUGAAAGGAAACAGACAACACAGAACCGGAGAGAACGCUCUUCUUAUGGGAGCAGAUAUUUCUCAAAAGAAACAGAGACAGAAUCAUGAAUUCAGAGAACAUUUUGAUCGUUGCCAGAUGGGAAGGGGAUGCAGAGGAAUGGCUGAGGAGAACCAGUGUACAACUUUGAAGAAAGAAGAACACUGUUGUGUAUAAUGCUGGAGAAAUACUCUCUGCCACCCGUCUUGCCUCCUACAGGACAGCCAGGCCAAUCUUUCUAAAACAACCUUUCAAUUCUGAUUCUUGCUCCAAAUUUCCUAAGGUCUCCCUGUAUCUCCUGCCUAAAAUCCAAGCUCUCCAACCUGCCUCCAGUGAUACCCCUCAAAAAGCACCCCAGCAAUAAGGCCCAACUAGUUCAAUUCUGUACCUUUUCUCAUCCUGCUACAACUGCUUAGAAGGACUU